AGGGCGAUCAAAUCGUGGGAUGAGAACCGUUAAAGGUUCGAGCCGAGCGAAGCGAGACAGCAACGCGCUAGCGUUGACCCGAAGGGCGAGUCCGUAGGACGAGUAAUCCCGCACGACUGGCAA
rnacentral:sRNA from 2 species